UACGUAGGGGGCGAGCGUUGUCCGGAUUUAUUGGGCGUAAAGAGCGUGUAGGCGGCCAGGUAGGUCCGUUGUGAAAACUCGAGGCUCAACCUCGAGACGUCGAGUGGAAACCAUCUGGCUAGAGUCCGGAAGAGGAGAGUGGAAUUCCUGGUGUAGCGGUGAAAUGACUGCAGAUAUCGAGAGGAACACCUGCGGCGAAGGCGGGUUGCUGGGCGUGACACUGACGCUGAUGCGCGAAAGCCAGGGGAGGCGAACGGG
rnacentral:rRNA from 1 species